rnacentral:rRNA from 1 species
UGGGGAAUAUUGGACAAUGGGCGAAAGCCUGAUCCAGCCAUGCCGCGUGUGUGAAGAAGGUCUUCGGAUUGUAAAGCACUUUAAGUUGGGAGGAAGGGCAUUAACCUAAUACGUUAGUGUUUUGACGUUACCGACAGAAUAAGCACCGGCUAACUCUGUGCCAGCAGCCGCGGUAAUACAGAGGGUGCAAGCGUUAAUCGGAUUUACUGGGCGUAAAGCGCGCGUAGGUGGUUUGUUAAGUUGGAUGUGAAAUCCCCGGGCUCAACCUGGGAACUGCAUUCAAAACUGACUGACUAGAGUAUGGUAGAGGGUGGUGGAAUUUCCUGUGUAGCGGUGAAAUGCGUAGAUAUAGGAAGGAACACCAGUGGCGAAGGCGACCACCUGGACUAAUACUGACACUGAGGUGCGAAAGCGUGGGGAGCAAACA